rnacentral:rRNA from 1 species
AACCGUGGUAAUUCUAGAGCUAAUACAUGCUAAAAACCCCGACUUCGGAAGGGGUGUAUUUAUUAGAUUAAAAACCAACGCCCUUCGGGGCUCCUUGGUGAAUCAUAAUAACUCAACGAAUCGCAUGGCCUUGCGCCGGCGAUGGUUCAUUCAAAUUUCUGCCCUAUCAACUUUCGAUGGUAGGAUAGUGGCCUACCAUGGUUUCAACGGGUAACGGGGGAUUAGGGUUCGACUCCGGAGAGGGAGCCUGAGAAACGGCUACCACAUCCAAGGAAGGCAGCAGGCGCGCAAAUUACCCAAUCCCGACACGGGGAGGUAGUGACAAUAAAUACUGAUACAGGGCUCUUUUGGGUCUUGUAAUUGGAAUGAGUACAAUUUAAAUCCCUUAACGAGGAACAAUUGGAGGGCAAGUCUGGUGCCAGCAGCCGCGGUAAUUCCAGCUCCAAUAGCGUAUAUUAAAGUUGUUGCAGUUAAAAAGCUCGUAGUUGAACCUUGGGCCUGGCUGGCCGGUCCGCCUCACCGCGUGCACUGGUCCGGCCGGGCCUUUCCUUCUGGGGAACCGCAUGGCCUUCACUGGCCGUGCCGGGGAACCAGGACUUUUACUUUGAAAAAAUUAGAGUGUUCAAAGCAGGCCUUUGCUCGGAUACAUUAGCAGGAAUAAUAGAAUAGGACGG